rnacentral:tRNA from 1 species
AAAGGGAGACCUAAUUCAGGUAGGGGACGAAAAAAAAGUAGUCGCUACCAAGAAUCAAUCCCAAAAGGUCGGAGCGAGGCGAAAUUGGCUUUCAAACUAGGUUCUGGGUUCAAACAAGACCUGAAUCAGGAACAAGGGCUAUUAGCUCAGGUGGUUAGAGCGCACCCCUGAUAAGGGUGAGGUCCCUGGUUCGAGUCCAGGAUGGCCCACCUGCACAGGUGGCAAAAACAAGAGAAGCGAGGAAUCAGCACCUUAUCUUACUUAUAUAGUAAGAGAGAAUGCUGGCUCUGAGUAAAGAGUCCAGAGGAACCUUGAAAACUGCAUAGGGCUAGGUGAAAAAGCCAAAAAAGAAGACCGCAAG